GGAGAAGCUGCUCCUGUAAAGAGAGGGAAAGCAUCCCCAAGCUUGCUACUGGCUCUCUGAGUGCUGCAAGUGCCAUUUUCCAGAAAGUGCACCAUGCCUGAAGAUGCUCAGACACCACACAUGCUCCUGGUGCUGCAGGGUGCUUAGGGUUUCAGUAACAGGGUAUUAUGGAUGGCAAAUGCUUACCAGUCCAGGGACAAAGCUAUGGAAGAGAAGUUCCACAAUGACUCAGAGUCAUGAAAAGCAGCAACAGCAGCUGAUGUGAAUAAUUUAGGAUGACACUGAAGACUUCCACCAAAAUUGGAGAAGGGCAAAGAACAUGCAGGGAUCAGUAGGAUCUCUUGGUUUUUACUGAUUAGUUAGAGUUGAAUGGGACCAUAAAGAAAAGUAAUUUUAUUAGAUGUCAUCAUUCUGCUGUGAUCCUCACUUUAGACUGAAAUCAAUCUGCACAAUCCCAAAAUUAUGGUGAUCACACAUUAGUGGCAAGAAGAAGCAUGAAGUUGUCUUUUAUUUCUCCUGUAUGUUAG